rnacentral:rRNA from 1 species
GAUGAACGCUGGCGGCGUGCCUAAUACAUGCAAGUCGAGCGAAAAGACGCGGCGCUUGCUCCUCUGACGUUUGCGGCGGACGGGUGAGAAACGCGUGUAUAACCUACCUAUCAGACUGGUAUAACUUCGAGAAACCGGAGCUAAUACCGUAUAAUAUAUUGAACCGCGGUGUGCGAUGGUAAAUGUCGGCUGUGGUGGCAGUUAUAGCUGGAUCCGGGCCGCAUUAGCUAGUUGGUACGUUAACGGCUUACCAAGGCAACCAUGCGUAGACGACGUGCGAGAGUGAUCGGCCACACGAGAGCUGAGACACGGUCAAGACUACUAAGAGAGGCAGCAGUAGGGUAUGUGCGGCAAUGGUCGAAAGCAUGACGGAGCAAGCGCGAGUGAGAGGUAGAGGUGUUGGGAUCGUGAAGCUCUGUUAUUAGUUAAGAACAAAUGUGUAAGUAACUAUGCACGGCUUGACGGUACCUAGUCAGAAAGCCACGGCUAACUACGUG